AACGAACGCUGGCGGCAGGCCUAACACAUGCAAGUCGAACGCCCUAGCAAUAGGGAGUGGCGCACGGGUGCGUAACGCGUGGGAAUAUGCCCUUGACUGCGGGACAACGUCGGGAAACUGACGCUAAUACCGCAUAAUGUCUUCGGACCAAAGAUUUAUCGGUCAAGGAUUAGCCCGCGUCUGAUUAGCUAGUUGGUGAGGUAACGGCUCACCAAGGCGACGAUCAGUAGGGGGUCUGAGAGGAUGAUCCCCCACACUGGGACUGAGACACGGCCCAGACUCCUACGGGAGGCAGCAGUGAGGAAUAUUGGACAAUGGAGGCAACUCUGAUCCAGCCAUGCCGCGUGAGUGACGAAGGCCUUCGGGUUGUAAAGCUCUUUCAGAUGCGAAGAUAAUGACGGUAACAUCAGAAGAAGCCCCGGCUAAAUUCGUGCCAGCCGCCGCAGUAAUAC
rnacentral:rRNA from 1 species